CCUACGGGAGGCAGCAGUGGGGAAUAUUGCACAAUGGGGGAAACCCUGAUGCAGCAACGCCGCGUGAGUGAAGAAGUAUUUCGGUAUGUAAAGCUCUAUCAGCAGGGAAGAGAAUGACGGUACCUGACUAAGAAGCCCCGGCUAACUACGCGCCAGCAGCCGCGGUAAUACGUAGGGAGCGAGCGUUGUCCGGAAUUACUGGGCGUAAAGGGCGCGUAGGCGGGAACUUAAGUUAGAUGUGAAAACUCCGGGCUUAACCUGGAGACUGCAUUUAAAACUGGGUUUCUUGAGGGCAGGAGAGGAAA
rnacentral:rRNA from 1 species